GUGAGAAUGGGGAUGCAACCCGGGCAGCUGAAACUGUGCAACGGGACUCCAGGGAAACUCUAGAGUACCACUGAGCAGGAGUAUGAAAACCUCAAAUUAGCCCAAUCCCCAUAUUUGAGAUGAAGAAAAUCAGGCCAAGGCUGAUUAAGUAACUUGUCCAGGAUUACAGAAGAAGGGAGAGGGAGAUUUGGACACACAGAUGCACCAAGAAGGCCAUGUGAGGACACACGCAGAGACUGGAGUAAUGCAACUGUAAGACAAGAAGUGCCAAGGAUUGCCAGCAACCAGCAGAAGCCAGGAAGAGGCAGGGAAAGAUUUUUCCCUAGAGCCAUCAAAAAUGAUCAUGACCUUGCUGACACUGUGAUUUCAGGUUUCUAGCCUCCAGAACUGUGAAAGAAUAAAUUUCUGUUGUUUUAAUCUACCAUCAAACCCUUAAUUCCUGAACCUGUCUCUUCUGACGAUGGGAGCAUUAUAUGUUGGUGGCAAUUUGUUGUUCCUAGUGUCCUAGGAAACUAAUACAAGAAAGGAAGAA